rnacentral:rRNA from 1 species
AUUGAACGCUGGCGGCAGGCCUAACACAUGCAAGUCGAACGGUAGCACAGGAGAGCUUGCUCUCUGGGUGACGAGUGGCGGACGGGUGAGUAAUGCAUGGGGAGCUGCCCAAUCGAGGGGGAUACCAGCUGGAAACGGCUGCUAAUACCGCAUACGCCCUGAGGGGGAAAGGUGGGGACCUUCGGGCCUACCGCGAUUGGAUGCACCCAUGUGGGAUUAGCUAGUUGGUGAGGUAACGGCUCACCAAGGCGACGAUCUCUAGCUGGUCUGAGAGGAUGACCAGCCACACUGGAACUGAGACACGGUCCAGACUCCUACGGGAGGCAGCAGUGGGGAAUAUUGCACAAUGGGGGAAACCCUGAUGCAGCCAUGCCGCGUGUGUGAAGAAGGCCUGAGGGUUGUAAAGCACUUUCAAUAGGAAGGAAUACCUAUCGGCGAAUACCCGGUAGACUGACAUUACCUAUACAAGAAGCACCGGCUAACUCCGUGCCAG